AGAACGAACGCUGGCGGCAGGCCUAAUACAUGCAAGUCGAACGCACUCUUCGGAGUGAGUGGCAGACGGGUGAGUAACGCGUGGGAACCUUCCCAAUGGUACGGAAUAACUCCGGGAAACCGAUGCUAAUACCGUAUAAGCCCCUCGGGGGAAAGAUUUAUCGCCAUUGGAUGGGCCCGCGUCGGAUUAGCUAGUUGGUAAGGUAAUGGCUUACCAAGGCUACGAUCCGUAGCUGGCCUGAGAGGAUGAUCAGCCACACUGGGACUGAGACACGGCCCAGACUCCUACGGGAGGCAGCAGCAGGGAAUCUUGCGCAAUGGGCGAAAGCCUGACGCAGCAACGCCGCGUGGGGGAUGAAGGCCUUCGGGUUGUAAACCCCGUUUCAGGAGGAAGAAUUGACGGUACCUCCAAAGAAGCCCCGGCCAACUACGUGCCAGCAGCCGC
rnacentral:rRNA from 1 species